UUACUCCUACGGGGGGCAGCAGUGAGGAAUAUUGGUCAAUGGACGCAAGUCUGAACCAGCCAAGUAGCGUGCAGGAUGACGGCCCUCCGGGUUGUAAACCUCUUUUGUCAGGGAGCAAAGGGCGCCACGUGUGGCGUUUUGCGAGUACCUGAAGAAAAAGCAUCGGCUAACUCCGUGCCAGCAGCCGCGGUAAUACGGAGGAUGCGAGCGUUAUCCGGAUUUAUUGGGUUUAAAGGGUGCGCAGGCGGAAUGUCAAGUCAGCGGUAAAAUUUCGGGGCUCAACCCCGUCGUGCCGUUGAAACUGG
rnacentral:rRNA from 1 species